rnacentral:misc_RNA from 1 species
GGAAGGAUCAUUAACAAAAACUUAAACUAAUAACUAACUGAAGUGGAUAAAUUGUCCUAGGGCAAUUUCCUACUAAACCUAAAUUCAAAAACUCUGUAACCAAACUUAAGGUUGAUAAAAUCUUAAAUUUUCAACGAUGGAUGUCUUGGCUCCCAUAUCGAUGAAGAACGCAGCUAGAAUGCGAUAUGCAAUGUGAAUUGCAGAACCAUGAAUCAUUGGAUCUUUGAACGCAACUUGCACUGGUAAAACCAGUAUGCUUGUUUCAGUGUGCUCAUUCAACUUAUUAAACUAAAUGUAAGAGAAUUUCUCUUAUUAAAUAAAUGCUCUCUGUAGCAGUCACAAUCAUUUGUGAACUAUAGUGUAGUAUAUAUGACAAUAUUUGCACCUGAARUCAAGUAAGAUGACCCGCUGGACUUAAGCAUAUUACUAAGCGGAGGARAAGAAAUUAACAAAGAUUGCCUUAGUAAGGGCGACUGAACCGGCA